rnacentral:rRNA from 1 species
UACGUAGGGUGCGAGCGUUGUCCGGAAUUACUGGGCGUAAAGAGCUCGUAGGUGGUUUGUCGCGUUGUUCGUGAAAACUCACAGCUUAAACUGUGGGCGUGCGGGCGAUACGGGCAGACUGGAGUACUGCAGGGGAGACUGGAAGUUCCUGGUGUAGCGGUGGAAUGCGCAGAUAUCAGGAGGAACACCGGUGGCGAAGGCGGGUCUCUGGGCAGUAACUGACGCUGAGGAGCGAAAGCGUGGGGAGCGAACAGG